CCUACGGGCGGCUGCAGUGGGGAAUAUUGGACAAUGGGGGCAACCCUGAUCCAGCCAUGCCGCGUGUGUGAAGAAGGCCCUCGGGUUGUAAAGCACUUUCAGUGAGGAAGAACGCCUGGUGGUUAAUACCCAUCAGGAAAGACAUCACUCACAGAAGAAGCACCGGCUAACUCCGUGCCAGCAGCCGCGGUAAUACGGAGGGUGCGAGCGUUAAUCGGAAUUACUGGGCGUAAAGCGCGCGUAGGUGGCUUGAUAAGCCGGUUGUGAAAGCCCCGGGCUCAACCUGGGAACGGCAUCCGGAACUGUCAAGCUAGAGUGCAGGAGAGGAAGGUAGAAUUCCCGGUGUAGCGGUGAAAUGCGUAGAGAUCGGGAGGAAUACCAGUGGCGAAGGCGGCCUUCUGGACUGAUACUGACACUGAGGUGCGAAAGCGUGGGUAGCAAACAGGAUUAGAUACCCUUGUAGUC
rnacentral:rRNA from 1 species